rnacentral:ncRNA from 1 species
UUGUCCGUGUUAGGGGUGCUGCGUCCCGCCUGGUGGAGCCGGCGAGCGCGGCUGAGAUCAUACCCUUGAACCUGAUCCGGGUAAUGCCGGCGGAGGAAAUAUGGCCAGUCAGACA